AUUGAACGCUGGCGGAAUGCUUUACACAUGCAAGUCGAGCGGCAGCGCGGGGGCAACCCUGGCGGCGAGCGGCGAACGGGUGAGUAACAUAUCGGAACGUACCCCGUCGUGGGGGAGUAACACAGCGAAAGCUGUGCUAAUACCGCAUACGACCUGAGGGUGAAAGCGGGGGAUCGCAAGACCUCGCGCGAUGGGAGCGGCCGAUAUCGGAUUAGCUUGUUGGUGAGGUAAAGGCUCACCAAGGCGACGAUCCGUAGCUGGUCUGAGAGGAUGAUCCGCCACACUGGGACUGAGACACGGCCCAGACUCCUACGGGAGGCAGCAGUGGGGAAUUUUGGACAAUGGGCGCAAGCCUGAUCCAGCCAUGCCGCGUGAGUGAAGAAGGCCUCGGUUGUAAGCUCUUCUAGUGGAAGAAAACGACAUGGUCGAAUACCCUCGUGUGGAUGACGGUA
rnacentral:rRNA from 1 species